rnacentral:misc_RNA from 1 species
AAGUCGUAACAAGGUUUCCGUAGGUGAACCUGCGGAAGGAUCAUUAACGAGAGGAGCUUCGCGCUCCAGGGGGUUCGCCUCCGCCUCUCAACCCUGUGAAAACAUACCUUUGUUGCUUUGGCGGGCCUUGGGGUCAUGCUCAUGCCGGGCUUCUGCCCGGCGAGUGCUCGCCGAAAGCCCACCAAAACUCGUUUAAGUCAUGCAGUCAGAGUCUAAAUACAAAUAAAGCAAAACUUUCAACAACGGAUCUCUUGGUUCUG